AAAGACGUAAACCAUGGGUUUCCGUGUCCAACUUUGACUAUCCGUCUUAUAUGAAAUUUUUUUAUAAUUCGUAUUUUCAUUGUUGUUAGAUGAUAAAACAUGAUUAAUAUUUUAUGCGUGACUUGUCUUUUUAAUUUUUUUUAUAAUUUUUUCAAAUAAGACAGACGGUCAAACAUUGGACACGGAAACCAGGGUUUGCCUUUUUU
rnacentral:pre_miRNA from 1 species